GACGAGCGCUGGCGGCGUGCUUAACACAUGCAAGUCGAACGAUGAUGCUCAGCUUGCUGGGUGGAUUAGUGGUGAACGGGUGAGUAACACGUGAGUAACCUGCCCCUGACUCUGGGAUAAGCGUUGGAAACGACGUCUAAUACUGGAUAUGACUGCCGGCCGCAUGGUCUGGUGGUGGAAAGAUUUUUUGGUUGGGGAUGGACUCGCGGCCUAUCAGCUUGUUGGUGAGGUAAUGGCUCACCAAGGUGACGACGGGUAGCCGGCCUGAGAGGGGGACCGGCCACACUGGGACGAAGACACGGCCCAGACUCCUACGGGAGGGAGCAGUGGGGAAUAUAGCACAAUGGGCGAAAGCCUGAUGCAGCAACGCCGCGUGAGGGAUGACGGCCUUCGGGUUGUAAACCUCUUUUAGUAGGGAAGAAGCGAAAGUGACGGUACCUGCAGAAAAAGCACCGGCAACUACGUGCCAGCCGCCGCGGUAACAC
rnacentral:rRNA from 1 species